ensembl:lncRNA
AAAAGUUUGGACACACCUAUUUUUUCUUUAUUUUUACUAUUUUCUACAUUGUCGAAUAAUAGUGAAGACAUCAAAACUAUGAAAUAACACAUACAGUUGAAGUCGGAAGUUUACAUACACCUUAGCCAAAUACAUUUAAACUCAGUUUUUCACAAUUCCUGACAUUUAAUCCUAGUAAAAAUCCUGUCUUAGGUCAGUUAGGAUCACCACUUUAUUUUAGAAUGUGAAAUGUCAGAAUAAUAGUAGCGAGAAUGAUUUAUUUCAGCUUUUAUUUCUUUCAUCACAUUCCCAGUGGGUCAGAAGCUUACAUACACUCAAUUAGUAUUUGGUAGCAUUGCCUUUAAAUUGUUUAACUUGGGUCAAACGUUUCGGGUAGACUUCCACAAGCUUCUCACAAUAAGUUGGGUGAAUUUUGGCCUAUUCCUCGUGACAGAGCUGGUGUAACUGAGUCAGGUUUGUUGGCCUCCUUGCUCACACACGCUUUUUCAGUUCUGCCCACAAAUUUUCUAUAGGUACGAGGUCUGGGCUUUGUGAUGGCCACUCCAAUACCUUGACUUUGUUGUCCUUAAGCCAUUUUGCCACAACUUUGGAAGUAUGCUUGGGGUCAUUGUCCAUUUCGGAGAUCCAUUUGCGACCAAGCUUUAACUUCCUGACUGAUGUCUUGAGAUGUUGCUUCAAUAUAUCCACAUAAUAUUUCUUCCCCAUGAUGCUAUCUAUUUUGUGAAGUGCACCAGUCCCUCUUGCAGUAAAGCACCCCCACAACAUGAUGUUGCCACCCCCAUGCUUCAAGGUUGGGAUGGUGUUCUUCGGCUUGCAAGCCUCCCCCUUUUUCCUCCAAGCAUAACGAUGGUCAUUAUGGCCAAACAGUUCUAUUUUUGCUUCAUCAGACCAGAGGACAUUUCUCCAAAAAGUACAAUCUUAGUCUCCAUGUACAGUUGCAAACAGUAGUCUGGCUUUUUUAUGGUGGUUUUGGAGCAGCGGCUUCUUCCUUGCUGAGCAGCCUUUCAGGUUAUGUCGAUAUAGGACUCGUUUUACUGUGGAUAUAGAUAUUUUUGUACCUGUUUCCUCCAGCAUCUUCACAAGGUCCUUUGCUGUUUUUCUGGGAUUGAUUUGCACUUUUCCACCAAAGUACGUUCAUCUCUAGGAGACAGAACGCGUCUCCUUCCUGAGUGGUAUGGCGGCUGCGUGGUCCCAUGGUGUUUAUACUUGCGUACUAUUGUUUGAACAGAUGAACGUGGUACCUUCAGGCAUUUGGAAAUUGCUCCCAAGGAUGAACCAGGCUUGUGGAGGUCUACAAUUUUCUUUCUGAGGUCUUGGCUGAUUUUUGGGGAUUUUCCCAUGAUGUCAAGCAAAGAGGCACUGCGUUUGAAGGUAGGACUUGAAAUGCAUCCACAGGUACACCUCCAAUUGACUCAAAUUAUGUCAAUUAGCCAAGAAGCUUCAAAAGCCAUGACAUAAUUUUCUGGAAUUCCAAGCUGUUUAAAGGCACAGUCAACUUAGUGUUUCUAAACUUCUGACCCAUUGGAAUUGUGAUACAGUGAAUUAUAAGUGAAAAAAUCUGUCUGUAAACAAUUGUUGGAAAAAUUACUUAUCAUGCACAAAGUAGAUGUCAUAACCGACGUGCCAAACUAUAGUUUGUUAAGAAGAAAUUUGUGGAGUGGUUGAAAAAUGAGUUUCAAUUACUCCAACCUAAGUGUAUGUAAACUUCCGACUUCAACUGUAUGGAAUCAUGUAGUAACCAAAAAAGUGUUAAACAAAUCAAAAUAUAUUUUAGAUUCUUCAAAGUAGUCCCCCUUUUCCUUCAUGACAGCUUUGCACACUCUUGGCAUUCUCUCAACUAGCUUCACCUGGAAUGCUUUUCCAACCGUCUUGACGGAGUUCCCACAUAUCCUGAGCACUUGUUGGCUGCUUUUCCGUCACUCUGCGGUCCAACUCAUCCCAAACCAUCUCAGUUGGGUUGAGGUCAAAAAUUGGGGAGGCCAGGUCAUCUGAUGCAGCACUCAAUCACUCUCCUUUGUCAAAAUGCACAGAAAUACACUUAACAUCAAAUAUUAGAAGAGAUCAUAGUCUUGGUAAGAUAUGUCUUAGUGAUAAGGUCUUUCACCGUUAUAUUUAGUGUAUGUGUCUCUCAAAAUUUCAGGUUCUCUUAGCAAACAUCCUAAUGGCAAUCAUCGUACUGCUGGGAUCAGGCAUAAUAGCCGGUUACUUCUAUAAGAGGUCAGCUGAAGGACCAGAAGCUCAAGAGGCAGCAGGAACAAGAGGCAAGUGAGCGAAAGUUGCCUACCUCUCUCUGGUUUCUCCAACCAGGCCUGUGAAAUAAUGGAUGAGAAUACGAUGGCAGUCUGUGUCCAACAGACACCUGCUGAAGAGGAGGACAGGGUGCAGAAAGAAGGAGAGGGGGACAGGGAGGGUGGUUGGGUGUGGACCCCCUAAUGGAUCAGGCAGGUACCCCUAAUGGACUAGCAGGUACCCCAGAGUUGUGAGAGGAGCAGGCCGAAUAGAUGUGUUGUGGAAUGAUGCCCUUUCUCUUUCCUUUUCAAAUGCUGUUUUUGAACACAGCAUGUAAAAACUAAAAUGUGUGGAGGCUCAAAUAAUGGGAAUGGUACAG